GAGAUGUUUGUCCAAGGCAGAAAGUUAUUAUUUUUCAGUAGUAAUGAUAGCUAACAUUUACAUGGCACCAAUCUCCACUGAAAGUGCUUAAAUGGUAUUAACUCAUUUAACCUCCCAACAAACCUAUGAGAGACACGUUGUCGACCCUGAUCUACAACGCCAGACCCAGAGAUUUUGAUUCACUGAAUGCUGAAUUACUAUUGAAUAUUCAAAACACCUGAAGGCCAGACUUCUAUCAUUCCAUUCAGGAGCUCCUACUGGGGCAGUUAGAGGCUGAAGGAUAAAAUGUGAACUCACCCUAUGUCUGAAGCUGGGGAAAGCCCAUAGUGACUCAUCGCCACAAUCUGGAUCUGUCUGAUGCUACCGCCAAGCAUAAACAGGGCUGCUGAGCACGCAGGGUGAAGUCAUCUCACCGCAUAUAUAGCCAAGACAUUCAGACAGUGACCAUGAUGGCUACUAGAGAAGAUAGUUUUCUGACUCUGCUGCUCUUGGCUCCUCGACAAAAGCAGAGAAGAAAUCGUAAUCCCUGAUCCAAGAUCUGUGAGCAGCUUCUUCAAACUGCCAGGGUCACAAAGCCUUUAGAUAAUGUCCCCCCUGUCCUGUUUGGUUUUGUUAAGUAAGCUACACAGAGGGAAGCGGUGCUGAAUAUUUCCUGGACAGAUUCUUUCUCUUGCUGAGGGAGACCUAUAUACACAAGUAAUGAGAAGGCACUAAGAGGGAAAGAUUUGAAGGAAUGAAAAGGAUAGUGAGGGCGUGGUUGUCCACAAUCCAACUCCAACCAAGGACAGAUGAAUGAUGUUUGGCUGUCAUUACAAGAAGCUCUGGUUGACAAAUACUGUCUGGUAUUUCCUUACUGAUUUCUUACCCUCAC